GGUCCUGUGGCUCAGUGCUGUAGAGCAUCAGCCUGCACACCAGAGGAUCACAGGUUCAAUUCCAGUCAGGGGCA
rfam:Myotis lucifugus cont2.6492, whole genome shotgun sequence.